rnacentral:rRNA from 1 species
UAAGUUUGUUUAAAUUGUUAAUUUUUUUAAAAAAUUAUUUUUAAUAAAAGUAAUUUUAAAGUUUUUUGAAUUUAGUAAUUAUUUUAAAAGAUAAAUUAAUUUAAUAUAUAUGUAGUAUUGUGAAAGAAAAAAUAAAAUUAAUAUAAAUAAUUUAUUAAUUAUUUGUACCUUUUGUAUCAGGGUUUAUUAAAAUUAAUUAAUUUAUUAUUUUAUAUUCUCGAAAUAAAUUGAUUUAAUUAAUUAUUUUAAUUAAUAUUUUAUUAUUAUUAAUAAUAAUUAAUUAGAAAAUAUAUUUUUGUCAAAAUUUAAAUAUCUAGUUAUUUUAUAAAUAAAUUUAAUUUAGUAAAUAGUUAAUUUAUUGAUAUUUAUUUUAUUAAUAAAUUUUUAUUUAUAAAUAUUUUAAGGGAUAAACUUUAUAAUAAUUUUAAUAAAUUUUAGUUUAAUUACAUUUUUAAAAUAAAAUUAAAAAUUUUUAUUUUUAAAUAAUUUUUAAUAAUUAAUAAAUAAUUUGUAUAAUUUUAUUUAAUUUUAAUAUGUUAUAAAAUUAUUAUUUUAAAUAAAAUUAAAAUAAAAAAUUAUGAUAAAAUUAGUAAAUAAAUUUAUAUAAAUUUUAUUAAAUAGAUAGAUUAAAUUAAGGAAUUUGGCAAAAAUUUUUUAUUCACCUGUUUAAUAAAAACAUGGUUUUUUGAUCAUAAUUUAAAAUCUAAUCUGCUCAAUGAUUAAUUUAAUAGCUGCAGUAAUUUGACUGUACAAAGGUAGCAUAAUCAUUUGUCUUAUUAAUUAAGUCUAGAAUGAAAGAUUGAAUGAAAUAAAGUCUGUCUCAAUUUAAUUAAUUAAAUUUUAAUAUAAGUAAAAAUUCUUAUAUAUUAUUAAAAGACGAGAAGACCCUAUAGAAUUUUAUAAUUAAAUUUAAAUUAAUUUAUUAAAAAAUUUAUUUAAAUUGAUUUAUUUAGUUGGGGAUACAAAAAAAUUUAAAAAAAUUUUUUAGUUAAAUUUCAUAAAUUUAUGAAUUUUGUAUAAAUUAGUAAAGAAAUUAAAUUUAAUUACCUUAGGGAUAACAGCGUAAUAUUUUUAGAGAGUUCAUAUUAAUAAAAAAGAUUGCGACCUCGAUGUUGAAUUAAGAUAAAGAUUUAAUGAAGAAGUUAAAUAUUUAAGUCUGUUCGACUUUUAAAUUCUUACAUGAUUUGAGUUUAGAUCGGUGUGAGCCAGAUCGGAUUCUAUCUUUAAUUAACUUAAAUUUUUUUGUACGAAAGGACUAGAAAUUUUUAAUAAUUAAUUUAAUUGAAUAAAUUU